CAGACAAGAUACGUCACUUCCGGCCACGAAGAAGCGAGUAAACACGCAGGACGCAGCCAGGGCCUUGGAAUACCCUUCCUGCAGAAGCCGCGUUCUGACGUCGCCACGCGGCAGAGUCCCCAGAGGACCGCAGCAAAGCCUGUGGCGUGGUGGGACUCGUGCCGACACACCUUUGGGCGUAGUGCGUCAGUGCAGGCUGCUGCAAGGUGCCUUUGCACCUGUGCCUCCUCCCUGCUCCAACACAUCCGCCCCGUGUUAGGAAGAGGGCGUUCCCAUUUUAGGGAGCAAGAAGAUACUGGAGCACGGCGCCAGUUUGGGCGCCGCUAAAGGUACUAGAGUCAGACCGGGGUCGUGAAACCUGUGGGAGACUCCCGUGACUUGCUAAGUACCACCACUACCUCCCACUGGUGCGUCAGCCCGCGGCGAGGGCCCGUGACCGACCGCAGGCUCAGCUGUCACGUGACCGCCGCGCCGGGCGCAACCUCGGAAACCGCCGGCCUCUAGGGGGCGUGUGCGUUUACCGCCUCUCUGCGCUCCCGGCCGCCUUGGCGCCUCGGCCGUUGGCGCAUGCGCAGCAGAGUCCGGAAACGCCCGCUUUCUUGGGCUCUGGAGGACAACGUGAACCGCGAGCCGGCGGCCGAGGGGAGUUUUGCGGUCAUCCCCGUCUCCCGCUCCGAGGGUCUCAGGAAGGGUGCGAGCGGCAGGGCUGUGUCGCCGGGGUUCGGGUCCCGGGUCCGGUGUUCUCUCCGGAGCUGGGGCUGGAGUGGAGAGCGCGAGCUGCAGAUUAAGAUAAAUUUAUAGGAAAAUGGAAAAGCAGAAAUUCUGAUGUUUUGCUUUUGAUUUUGCCAAGUUAAGUCAAUUCCAGGAGUCCUCUUUUCAGAAAGAUAAAUAAAUGCUGAAGACUUAUUUCCAACCAAUACAUGGAUGGCUGCCAAUGAGAAAAGCAAGCAGCAGAAAGUAUCAGCAAAGUAACUUGGCACUGGAUAAACCAGAAAGAGAAAAACCAAGAUCUCUUAGGAAGUUUGGGCACACAGACCUGAAGAGCAGAUGUGCUUUAGUAGGACAGGUAGAGGGAAGCAGCAGAAUGUGAGGAGGCUGCAGACCAUGCCAAGGUGGAGGAGGAGCCUAACAUGGAUUGGUGGGGGCUAUGCUCCAUGCAUUCAUUUAAGGAAUGAGGCUCCUCUGUCAGGUACUCCACCACCUCUAAGGCAGAUGCUGCAGAGUCCCCAGGGCUGACAGAGACUUGCCAUGUGACACAAUCUCUCCAUUCCAGAACUCCGAGGCUAGUGAUACCUGCAGUUGGUGGGUCAGAGCUCAAACCUCUGAUGUCACUGCUUUGGAAGGUUCCAGAAAACCUGUGGAAACAUGUUUACUCAGUGGAAGUGUGUUGACUCCAGCUGGUUCCUACCCUAGAGGAAUCACACAGUGCCUGCAGCCAAAAUAUCUCACUACCAGGAGGACCUUCAUCAGCAACUACUCUAUAACUCUUAUUCAUUUGUGGAAAUCCAUGGGCCUUUUUCCACCUCACCUUUCUAGUAGGCUAUUUCUCAGGCAAAAGACAGCACAUGCCUCGUACCUAUAAAAAUGGAUCACCCCUUUGGCCCUGAAGACGACAUAUGUAUUAAUUGACUCCAUCUUUUUUAGACCUAAGCCCUUGAGCUCAGAUUGUUCUUUCCUCAAGAUCCUUGAUUACCAACCCAUAAUAAAUCUAGAGGAACUAAUCCACCUUUCCUUUUCCAA